rnacentral:misc_RNA from 1 species
AAACGCUGUGACGGAAGUACCCGGCUUGGCAAACUUUCAAAGCUUGGACUUGCUCCUGUUCUUUGUUGUACAAUAUUUCUUCUACUUACCACUUACAUUCAUGCGGUAAUUUUGGCUUCAACUUUGCCAAAAUUAACUGCUGCUGGCGCACUAUUUGCAUGGUUGGGAGUUUUCCUUGCUACAGCUGGACUAGUUACAUUUUACCGGUGCAGCAGAAAAGAUCCAGGUUACAUCCGGAGGAGUCAGCAUGAUUCACAAAAUAUCAAAGAUGAUGAACCUUUGCUCAAAAUGGAAAUGAAUCAUCCUGCUUUGCUUGCUGGGAAUUGGUCUCAGCUUUGCUCCACGUGCAAGAUUGUUCGUCCUCUUCGUGCAAAGCAUUGUUCAACCUGCGAUCGUUGUGUGGAACAAUUUGAUCAUCAUUGUCCAUGGGUGUCUAAUUGCAUCGGCAAGAAAAACAAGUGGGACUUUUUCAUCUUUCUUGUUCUCGAAGUAUUGGCAAUGGUCUUAACUGGUGCAGUUACUCUUACAAGAGUCUUGACUGAUCCAGCAGCUCCAUCAUCGUUUGGGGCUUGGCUGAGUCAUGCCGGUACUCACCAUGUUGGUGCUUUAGCAUUUUUAUUUGCAGACUUCUUCCUCUUUGUUGGAGUGGCAGUCUUAACUGGGGUACAAGCUUCUCAGAUAUCACACAACAUUACAACAAAUGAAAUGGCGAAUAUGAUGCGUUACAGUUACCUCAGAGGACCAGGUGGUCGAUUCCGUAAUCCAUAUGAUCAUGGGUGUAAGAAGAACUGUUCAGAUUUCUUGAUAAACGGUUACAACGAAGACAUUGAGUGUGUUGAAGAAUCGGUUGAGUCCGAAGGGAUUGGAAUGAUGCAGAUUCCUCACAGUUCAAGUAUGCAAAACGGCACCGGCCAUUCUCAUCAGAUCAAUGGAAAUGGCCAUCAUGUUAUCAAUAUAAGCAACAAUAACCAGAACUCACACCAGGCCCAUGUUCAUUCUGCCCAUUGUAGUCAUAAUGUGAAGAGCAAAACUGAUUCUGUACCUGUGGGUUUGGGUGUUGGCUUAGGAAGAAACGCCGCGCGUGCCGCGCUACCUUCAUAACCUAGUGUGCCGUUGGCUUUUUUUGGGUAUUUAGAAUCCCUUCUUUUUGACCUUUUAUUUGUUUAUAUAUGCUUCACACACACUCGUUUUAGA